ACAAAUACCAUAGCUAGUGUGAAAAAAUGCCUGAUUGUUAGUGUAAAAAAGGUUUCUGUGCAAUACUAUUCAGUUAACUGUCAUAAUCUGAUUGCAACAAAAAAGAUAAGCUGGAUAAAGCAAAUGGUUUCGACAUUGGGAUCUUCAAGGAAAAAGUAUCGCUUUCUCAAGAAGUCGGCAACGCACCGGUGACCCCUAUCGGCUGGUCUCCAUGGGCUUGUAUUUGCUUACCAUCAGCUAAGCAGUUAAACUCGGCACACUUUUGAUUCCGAGAAAUCAAAUCGAUUGGAAAUGACAGUUUUAUACAUGGGAACCUAAGCACGUGGCAACUCGAUUUAAAUCGGAUUCAGAAUAAUCGAUGGCGAUGACUGCUACUCGAUUAUAAUUAAUUCAGUUGAAGAAUAAGGCAGUCCGUAAGUAAAAUUAUAAAUAUCCUGUUAUAGAAAAGUUAAAACUUUUUUUUAAGCAAAAGUAUACAGCACUUUACAGCAUUUGACAGAACAAAACCGAACAUAAUUCAGCUUAAAGUAUGAUUAACUUUUUUAUAACAAUAAUAAUGCGUUUAUUUUGGACAACAAAA